ACACACCCACACACAAACAUAUAUAUAUAUAUAUAUAUAUAUAUAUAUAUAUAUAUGCCAAGGAGCCUUAUUUUGGGGUGUCGUGUUCUGAGCCCCGACACUGUCUUUAUAAGGAGAUAACUUUCUGAAAUAUAUGCAAGUAUUUAUGAUUCAUUGAAUGAGAUAUUUAUUACGCAUUUAUGAAAACCUCUGUACUUCUCUAUGUGUUUGUUAGUUAAUUCGUGUUACAUAUAAAUAUGCAUUAAGUAAUCUGAGCCACAGCUUUUGAGGAGCUUGGAAUCUAAAGAAUCUAAAUGGAAAGAGACAGAGAUGAAAUUGUUUUAAGAAUUAACUAUGUUUUAAAAUAUUAACAAUAACGAAAGUAAUGCUUAAAGAGCAUAACCUUCAGCUUCCCACUUUGAAGCUGGCAGUCCUAGCAUGGCUUUCUUCAUCGUCCAUUUCCCUCUUUUUAAAACCUUCAGAGCCUUUAAAUGUUUCCCCCAUUUGGGUAAUUUUAUAUUAAUAUGUAAACCUUGACAUAAAAAUUUGGGGAUUCUUUGGUGAUUAGGGGUCUAGCAAGUUUGCUUCUACACACAGAGAGAGAGACAGACCCUACCUGGGAAGGGAAAAUAGGGCAAAUUAUCAAUUUGUCCAAUUAGUGUUGCUGGACAUAUGUAUUUGAUAAUACAAAUAAAUGUCGAGACUAGUAUUUCUUAGCAAAUUCAGCCACACAAUUCCCAUCUUUUAUGAAAUGCAUCCUUUACCAGAUUGGAAACUAAGAGGAAAAGCAUUACUUCUAUUAAAAUCAAUUCUAGUUUCCCUUCCUAAAAUUGGGCAUUACUUAUCUACAUCAUAUUUGGUACGCAAUUCCAGGAUAAUCACAUUUUCCAACUGGACAGGGCUCUAGUUCAAAUGCUUCACCUUUCACAGUGACUUAGAAUGGUUUAGAGAUUUAUCCAGUGCCUUGUUCUUGGUGAGUCUAGCAUCUUAGUCGCAUCCUGUAAGCACUUGAUCAUUGCCUGCCACUAGACACUGAGUGUACAUGGAAUUUUAGGGUAUCGUUCAUUCAUUUACAGCUUACCAUAAUAGGAAAAUUUAGAAAGUAAAACUAUAAUUGCUACCUAUUCUAUUAAUCUUGCUGACAUUCUAAUUCACUUACCUUGAAGAAUUUAAGCCAGCAGAUUUGGUGUCAUAAGAAUCAUGGACUAUUUUUAGCAAAGACUUCAUAUCACUUUUCAUUGACUGGAUGAUGCAAUGAUGAGACUUGAAAAAUUAGCCAAAUUCCCAUCAUUGUGUUUUAUCAUCCUGAUGGAAGCAAUGCUGUUGAAUUUCAAGAGGUUAGCAUAAUCAAUACAAUGAAGUUACAGCAAAAGGGGAGAUGUCUCUAUUAUUGAAGUUUUACAAAAAUAUUAAAUGUUUGGAUUGAUUUUUUUUUUAAAUUGCACACACAUAACUCUGUGGAGUGUCUAAUAGUCAAAAAUAGGUUGAGUGUGAUCAGGAUAAAUAGCUAAUGCAUGUGGGACCUAAUACCUAGGUGAUGAGUUGAUAGGUGCAGCCAACUACCAGGGCACAUGUUUACGAAUGUAACAAACCUACACGUCCUGCACAUGUAUCCUGGAACUUAAAAUAAAAUAAAAUAUUUUAAAACUAGGUUGAGUAUGAAUGAGAGGGAAAACAGAAGUGAGCCAGUUCAUAAUUAUAGGCUAAAGAUUAUAGUGAAAUCAGAUCACAUCUUACAUUUCACAUUAUUUUUUCUGUACUUAGACAUUAAGCCCUCAUUUCGUUUCACAAACUUCCCACCAAUGAUCUAACCCAGCAAGAUUCUGUCCCUGCAUGGGCAGCCCCAGCUACCUCAGCCCCGUCUGUGUCCACCUCCCACCCUCCAGUCCAUUCCCUUGGCCUCCUCCAUCUUUCUCAUGCCCAUCAUGCAUGCUCUACCCUUGGGUCCUUGGUGCAGAGAGGUCUACUCUGCCUGGAAUGCUCUAUAUAGAUAUGCUUGUGGCUGACUCUCUGAUUCCUUUCAGGUCCCUGAAGAAAUAUCAUUUCUCAGAGGUAUUGUGUCUGACCACAACAUCUAAGAUAGCACCACCUCUGCCAUAAGAUAGCACCACCUCUGCUUAUCAUAUGUUGCCUGUAUCUCCACCGGCAACAUUUCAUCUUCAUUUAUUUAAUCGUUGUUUUCUGUCUUCAUGUUCAUGCACUACACCAUAGGCUGUAUGACAGCGGGGUCUUUGUUUUGUUCAUUGCAACAUCUACAGCACCUACAUCAGUUUCUGACACUUAGUGGAUGCUUCAUAAAUAAUUGAGAGAUAAUCAAUGAAUUUUCUUCACGAGAAGAUAAUUUUUUUGAUUUAAUCGUAUGUAUUUAAAACCCUUUCUGUAGAAGACAUGCACAGAUUGGGGGAACAUAUUGCAGAACACAUUCUUAUUGGGGACCCCUCUACACUACAAGAAGAUAAUUUUGAAAGGCAACAGUGAAGGAAACAGAUAAAGUCCCUUUCUUCCUAGGGCUUACAAAAUUUGUUUUGUGUGAAAGGUAGACUUCAAUUUAAACCUUCCAUUAUAGUAAUGUUACGCAUAUUCUAGUUCAUUAGCACAGUACAUAGGCUCAUAUUAGGCUUAAAGAGACCAAGAAAGAGAAUAAAAACCAGAAAAGAAUAUAGAUAAAUUCCUUAGUUUGUUAACAGCAUGAAAUUAUAUAUUUAUCAAGAGAGCAUGCUCCUCCAUCACAGAGGCAGGGUUUAAUAAAGAAUAAAAUAUGUUAAUAUUUUACUCUUAAAGAUUACUAGUAUACUAGACACUCUCUCAGAUAGACACAGGUGAGAUAGCCUGUUAUUGAAAUUUAGGAUAUUAGAUUUAUUUUUCCUCAUUAAAAUUUUUCUCUCUCUAGUUACUUAAUUUGUCAAUUUGACUGAGAGAAACAAAAAUUUUUAAAGGAUACAAAAAUUUUCCUUGAUCUACAAAAAUAAACACAUGAGACACUAUUUUGUUUUUUAAUCUAGCACUGUCAAGGGAAUACUUCUUAUAACAAACUGUACCUGCCAGAAGUUUUGUAACUAAGCAAUAGUCACAUGGUCUGUGGCUAGCAGGAUAAUUGCAAAGUACUUAAGGACAAAUCAUUCCCUUGUGUCUUUGUAAUGACUGUAUAACUUGUUCCUUAAAGACUCCAAUGGCAUUAUGCAAAUUUAAAUACACUUCUACUUCCCACUUACAAAGAGCAUACAAUGAAUGCUAUAUAUGAAUUAUUGUUUGACGCUAGAAGAUAACACAAUUUAGGUUAUUGGUUCUAUGCGUUUGUUAGUCACAAAAUUUCAUGUCCUGUGAUAGUGAUGAAAAGUAGAAUGUUUUAUUUAAAUAUUUAUCUUUCCCAUAAAAAAUUUUCUUUUAGAUAAAUAAAAAGAAGUCUGUCUUUACAUAUUAUAACUACCUAUUCGUGUGAAUUUUUUAAUAUAAUAUUUCAUGGUAUUUUUGGCACCUCUCUUUUUGUAGGAUACCAUUGAUUCAUUACUCUAGGAGUUUUCUUUUCCACUACAAUUGUAAAAAAGCUAAAAUUCUGAACAUGAUCAUCUUUUUUUUUCUAAUUCUUACAUCCAUAAUUCAUGUACAAAGUUCUCCUUAAUAGUCUUCUAACUAGUCAUAUUGAUCUUUUCUGCCCCCUGCCCCAAUUUUCCUUAAACAUAACAGCAGUGUUCUAUCUAUAGACACCACUCUAAACAUGUUGCUGCUCUUUUGUUUUUAACAAGGUAACAUGUACAAAAUGGCUACCUUCAUACACGAUGCCCCUCACCCCACACAAUGCACAUACUGUGAUGUAAAAAUUGUGACAGAGGAAGAAAGGUUGUAUAUGUGGAUUUGGGGAAUCUGCCUGGGUGUCCCCAUAUUCCAUUUCUUUUCUAUUACUCCCUCCACACACAUUUAUUUUGAAGUAGGCCCAUCUCCACUAGUAUUCUUUACUUUGUCCAAACAAAUGUACGUUUCUCUUUGUGCCUUAUGGAUAAACUCCAAAUUCCUGGCACAUAAUGUUCCUUCUAUUCAAAACCUUGCUAAAAAUCAAUCUCUUGACACUUUCUAAGGCUUCUCUUCAAUCAUGCCUUCAUUCCUUCAAAAUGAAUGCAACUCUCUCCAUAUGCAGUUGUAAUUAGCUUUGUACAUUAUGUUUCUUGGCUUCUUGUGAAUGGCUAAUGAGUACCUCUCUCUUUUUCUCUGUGAAAUUUAUAAAUUUAAAUUGCUAAGGAGAUCUGAGGGUGGAGGGGAAGGGGGUCUCACUCUGAGAUCAGAAAUUGUUUUGUGAAAAAGCAGCUUUUGAGAGAUGUAGAGGUAUGGGUAGUAUAACUAAUGUGGAGGAAUGGCUGCUAUACCUGAUAGCUAUGUCACUUUAAGAAGUAGGCAAUGAUAUAAAGGUGAACUUAUGUAGAUUAUGUCACUUUCAUGGGCAUUUUAAUUUUCUAGUUUAUAAAAUGUAAAACAGAAACAGCAGGUUAAGUAAAUAAAUGAAACUGGUUGGGCCCAAGAAUUGCUUGCUUUCUUGGUCAUUUUGCACUUUGGCAUUCAAUAGACAAAGCGUAUAUGGUACAUUUAUUUUCCCUCUUUACUAUAAGGAAACAACACAAAUGCCGUAAUACGUGGCCACGGACACUUGGGACCUGCUAUGUGGAAAGCAAAUGCCCUAUUUAAAAAGGACCGCUGCAAUUUAGUUCUAUCUGUUGUCAUGUAGGAAUGGGAGCACAAUAUUGACAGACUGGAGUUUUCAGAAGAAGUAAGCAGAUUUUUAUAUGAGAUCUCCUGACUUCUAAAUGUGAAUUCUAACAAAACCCAAACCCCAACCAUGUGGACUGAAUGAAACACAACAAAGCCAUAUCCGGCCCACAGAUUGCUGUGAUAUAUGUCCUGAAGAUCCUUUCUGUGCCAGAGAACUAUGAUUUUAAAUUCCUUGAUAACAGAAACCGUGUCUACUCUUUCCUCUUCAACUAUAUCAACAAAGCAUUUUAACUGGAGAUCAACAACUGAUCAUCAGAUAUUUUUAUCACAUCAAAACUUUCAUUGGAUUGAAUUUUUGUAGGAAAUUUUGACCUAUAGAGGUAUUUUCAGUGGACAGGGAGCAUUGGUAAUUCUGAGGACAACUAUUUAUAAGAAAAGGCUCAAAUGCUGAACUGUGGAACAUAGAAAAGAUUUAGUAGCAUGCAAAGAAAAUAGAUCGAAGUAGCUGGAGAGAAUGGGAUCAUGUCUGGGAGUGCAGGACGAUGAGUAAUCAAGGAAAAGGGAGUUAUUCAUAAUAGUCAGCUCUGCUGACUGGCCUUUUGAAGGAAAAAAAUAAAAAAUGAUUAGUAUAGGGAAGAAGCAAUUUGAUUUGGCUUAGAGGAGGUUAUUGGAAACCUUGGAAAGGGUGGCUUUUUUCAGUAGUUGGGAUGGAAGCCAGACUGGAGAAGGUUAAAGGGAUUAGAGGUGAGAAACUGGGAGAUCCAGAGGUAUGCUGCUUUUCCAGGAGGUUGGACACAAAGGAAGAAGGGCUGGGGUGAGAGUGGAGGAAUCCAUCUGUUUCAGUGAAGAUGGCGUGCUGGAUAUGGGGAAUACCUGUGCAUGCUUGAAGUUGGAUGGUGAUACAUCCUCUUCAUUGUCCUUGGUAUCUUGGAAACCCUUCUACUGAGUUCAGUGUCUGUCUUCUUCCUGGGGCCACCAUUAUUGGAGCGGAACCAUAUGCUUCUGCCCUGGAGACUGCAGCAUUAUAUCAGGAUGCCAAGAGCUAAGGAAGAGCUCAUGUCCCCAGGUGUCUUACAGCCAUUUCCUUUUAUCCCUAUUGAAUGUUAUGGCACACUUCCAUGUUCACAAAUUUAAAUAUUCCUGCUGGCCUAUUAUUUGCAGAAAAUUAAACGUAACUGCUGAUUGGGAAGUAUAUAAAUAAAUAUAAAUAAAUAGAAAUCUA